rnacentral:rRNA from 1 species
GACGUAGGGUGCGAGCGUUGUCCGGAAUUACUGGGCGUAAAGAGCUCGUAGGUGGUUUGUCGCGUUGUUCGUGAAAACUCACAGCUCAACUGUGGGCGUGCGGGCGAUACGGGCAGACUGGAGUACUGCAGGGGAGACUGGAAUUCCUGGUGUAGCGGUGGAAUGCGCAGAUAUCAGGAGGAACACCGGUGGCGAAGGCGGGUCUCUGGGCAGUAACUGACGCUGAGGAGCGAAAGCGUGGGGAGCGAACAGG